CCUGCUCCUAGAGACAUUGCAGGUGUGCCUGCCAUGUCACAUGUGUGUCAGUAGGUGGCAGAGAGGAGAGAAGCUGUGUCUGUCCUCAGUGUUCUGACCUGUCAACAUCUGAAUGAUUGGUAGCCUAACACU